AGAGCGAACGCUGGCGGCAGGCCUAACACAUGCAAGUCGAGCGCCCCGCAAGGGGAGCGGCAGACGGGAGAGUAACACGUGGGAACGUACCCUUCAGUUCGGAACAACCCAGGGAAACUUGGGCUAAUACCGAAUACGUCCGUAAGGAGAAAGAUUUAUCGCUGAAGGAUCGGCCCGCGUCUGAUUAGCUUGUUGGUGAGGUAACGGCUCACCAAGGCUACGAUCAGUAGCUGGUCUGAGAGGAUGAUCAGCCUCACUGGGACUGAGACACGGCCCAGACUCCUACGGGAGGCAGCAGUGGGGAAUAUUGGACAAUGGGCGCAAGCCUGAUCCAGCCAUGCCGCGUGGAUGAUGAAGGCCUUAGGGUUGUAAAGUCCUUUCGACGGGGAAGAUAAUGACGGUACCCGUAGAAGAAGCCCCGGCUAACUUCGCGCCAGCAGCCGC
rnacentral:rRNA from 1 species